rnacentral:rRNA from 1 species
UACGUAGGGGGCAAGCGUUGUCCGGAUUUAUUGGGCGUAAAGAGCGUGUAGGCGGCUUGGUAGGUCCGCUGUGAAAACUCGAGGCUCAACCUCGAGAUGUCGGCGGAAACCACUUGGCUAGAGUCCGGAAGAGGAGAGUGGAAUUCCCGGUGUAGUGGUGAAAUGCGUAGAGAUCGGGAGGAACACCCGUGGCGAAGGCGGCUCUCUGGGACGGUACUGACGCUGAGACGCGAAAGCGUGGGGAGCGAACAGG